GACGAACGCUGGCGGCGUGCUUAACACAUGCAAGUCGAACGGAAAGGCCCUGCUUUUGUGGGGUGCUCGAGUGGCGAACGGGUGAGUAACACGUGAGUAACCUGCCCCUGACUUUGGGAUAACUUCAGGAAACUGGGGCUAAUACCGGAUAGGAGCUCCUGCUGCUUGGUGGGGGUUGGAAAGUUUCGGCGGUUGGGGAUGGACUCGCGGCUUAUCAGCUUGUUGGUGGGGUAGUGGCUUACCAAGGCUUUGACGGGUAGCCGGGCUGGGAGGGUGACAGGCCAAACUGGGCCUGGGAUGCGGCCCAGACUCGUACGGGAGGGAGCAGUGGGGAAUAUUGCACAAUGGGCGGAAGCCUGAUGCAGCAACGCCGCGUGCGGGAUGACGGCCUUCGGGUUGUAAACCGCUUUCGCCUGUGACGAAGCGUGAGUGACGGUAAUGGGUAAAGAAGCACCGGCUAACUACGUG
rnacentral:rRNA from 1 species